rnacentral:rRNA from 1 species
GACGAACGCUGGCGGCGUGCUUAACACAUGCAAGUCGAACGGAAAGGCCCUGCUUUUGUUGGGUGCUCGAUUGGCGAACGGGUGAGUAACACGUGAGUAACCUGCCCUUGACUUUGGGAUAACUUCAGGAAACUGGGGCUAAUACCGGAUAGGAGCUCCUGCUGCAUGGUGGUGGUUGGAAAGUUUCGGCGGUUGGGGCUGGUCUCGCGGCUUAUCAGCUUGUUUGUGUGGUAGUGGCUUACCAAGGCUUUGACGGGUAGCCGGCCUGAGAGGUUGACCGGCCUCAUUGGGACUGCGAUACGGCCCAGAAGCGUACGGGAGGCAGCAGUGGGGAAUAUUGCAGAAUGGGGGCAAGUGAGAUGCAGCAACGUCGCGUGCGGAAUAACGGCUUUCGGGUUGUAAACCGCUUUCGCAUGUGACGUAGCGUGCUUGACGGUAACGGGUCAGGAAGCACCGGCUAACUACGUG